AGUGAACGCUGGCGGUAGGCCUAACACAUGCAAGUCGAACGGCAGCACAGUAAGAGCUUGCUCUUACGGGUGGCGAGUGGCGGACGGGUGAGGAAUACAUCGGAAUCUACUUUUUCGUGGGGGAUAACGUAGGGAAACUUACGCUAAUACCGCAUACGACCUACGUGUGAAAGCAGGGGAUCUUCUGACCUUGCGCGAUUGAAUGAGCCGAUGUCGGAUUAGCUAGUUGGCGGGGUAAAGGCCCACCAAGGCGACGAUCCGUAGCUGGUCUGAGAGGAUGAUCAGACACACUGGAACUGAGACACGGUCCAGACUCCUACGGGAGGCAGCAGUGGGGAAUAUUGGACAAUGGGCGCAAGCCUGAUCCAGCCAUACCGCGUGGGUGAAGAAGGCCUUCGGGUUGUAAAGCCCUUUUGUUGGGAAAGAAAAGAAGCAGGUUAAUACCCCGCUGUUCUGACGGUACCCAAAGAAUAAGCACCGGCUAACUUCGUG
rnacentral:rRNA from 1 species